AGUGAACGCUGGCGGUAGGCCUAACACAUGCAAGUCGAACGGCAGCACAGUAAGAGCUUGCUCUUACGGGUGGCGAGUGGCGGACGGGUGAGGAAUACAUCGGAAUCUACUUUUUCGUGGGGGAUAACGUAGGGAAACUUACGCUAAUACCGCAUACGACCUACGGGUGAAAGCAGGGGAUCUUCGGACCUUGCGCGAUUGAAUGAGCCGAUGUCAGAUUAGCUAGUUGGCGGGGUAAAGGCCCACCAAGGCGACGAUCCGUAGCUGGUCUGAGAGGAUGAUCAGCCACACUGGAACUGAGACACGGACCAGACUCCUACGGGAGGCAGCAGUGGGGAAUAUUGGACAAUGGGCGCAAGCCUGAUCCAGCCAUACCGCGUGGGUGAAGAAGGCCUUCGGGUUGUAAAGCCCUUUUGUUGGGAAAGAAAAGCAGCAGGUUAAUACCCCGCUGUUCUGACGGUACCCAAAGAAUAAGCACCGGCUAACUUCGUG
rnacentral:rRNA from 1 species